rnacentral:rRNA from 1 species
AUUGAACGCUGGCGGCGUGCUUAACACAUGAAAGUCGGACGAGUGGCGAACGGGUGAGUAACGCAUCGGAACGUACCGGGUAAUGGGGGAUAACUGCCCGAAAGGACAGCUAAUACCGCAUAUUAUCCGAGCGGCCGAGGUCGGAUUAGCUGGUUGGCGGGGUAAAGGCCCACCAAGGCGACGAUCAGUAGCGGGUCUGAGAGGAUGACCCGCCACACUGGGACUGAGACACGGCCCAGACUCCUACGGUAGGCAGCAUUGGGGAAUUUUGGACAAUGGGCGCAAGCCUGAUCCAGCCAUGCCGCGUGUCUGAAGAAGGCCUUCGGGUUGUAAAGGACUUUUGUCAGGGAAGCGGUACCUGAAGAAUAAGCACCGGCUAACUACGUGCCAGCCGCCGCGGUAAUAC